UUUCCCAUUUUUACGCUUCUGCAAAGAAAAACAGAAGAAGAGAACAAGACCAAAUUCUCAGCUCUCUCUUGCUUUACCUCUCUCACGAUUGCUCCCUGUGCUCGCGGUUUCGUGACGAACAACAACAAUAGUCGAAACCUUCUUUCGACCUUGGCUCACGGCGGCCAUGGAAGAAGCAAGAACGAACAUCCGAGUAAACACUCAACCAAUCUCUCUCGGUUCUCUCUUCACUCGCGGUAACAACAACAAAACAAUGCUUUUUCUUCUUUUUUUCUGUGAACAAACAGUAACUGUGCUUUUUCUCUCUAUUUUAACAACAACAACAACUUCUCAGUACCGUUCUAGGCUUUUUUCUGAGUUUAUGAACAACCUCAACAAACAGAAGCUUUUGGCAUCUUUUGAUUGAAGAAAAACUCAAGAUUUUCAAAUGAUACAAGCACAAUAUAUUUGUAGUAACUGAUAAAAGCAAUAUUGAGAGCAAAAGGGGUGAAGUCAACUUACCUGCGCAAGAGAUGUUUUUCCAGAUUUUGUUAAGGAAAGCCAAAGUUCAAAGCAACAACAAUAUUGAGACUGAGAGUGGAGAUGACUUACCUACGGCGAGGAGAUUUUCGCCGGAUUUAUUGCUGAGGCUUUUGAUGAAGGUGAUGCCAUAACACCUCUCUUUGAAAUUGCUUCAAGACUUGAAGAUGGACUUCAAGUUGGAACUCUCCACCAAGGUAUGAAGAAUUUCUUCUUCACUCUCUUCAAACCAUGGAACUUUGUAACUAGGAAUUCUCACUUCUCAAGUGGUUUUCUUUGGUUUGAAGAAUUGCUUCUUCUUGCCAAGAAACUUGAAAACUAUGAGAGAAAAGAGAGAAGUGAGAAAGCUAGUAGUAUAGUAGCUUUGGUGUCAUUUGCAAUGAAGUGAGGCCUUCUAUUUAUAGGAAAAGUUAAGGAUGUGUUUGGCAUUUGGUAAACUUGAUUGGCAAGUUUCAAUCAUUGCAAGAUAAGAAAAAGAAUAAGAAUAUUCUUUAUGAGAUAUUUCUCUUGCAAGUGGACAUGAAAUAUCUUUGAUUCCUUUUGUCUUGAAUUAUUUCUUUUUUUGAAUUAUUUCUUUUGUUGGAUUUUUACUAAUCUCACCCCUUUUUGUUUCUUUUUUCAUGUGACAUGAUCAUUCUUG